rnacentral:lncRNA from 1 species
CACCAUCGGCACUGGCACCCCACCACCACCAACACGGCCAUCUCACCACCACUGCAAAACACCAAGAGCAAGAUGUAAAAUAAAGCGUAAGGGUGCCAAUGACAAAGAAAACUGCAAGAUCCACCGCAAAAGAGAAACACAAAAUGCAGAUGAUGUGCACCAGAUCGCUCCAUACUUAAGAUGCAGUGGUGAUGGGUGCAUCUUGCCAUUACUUCGAGCGCAAUGUCGCCUGCCACCAGAUCUCGCCAUACUUAAGCAGUGGCUUCGUGUGCAACGACGAUGGGGCACUGAUGCCCAUGAAGCAACGGUAUUCGGUGCCGUUACUGAGCCUACUUUUGCCGCGGGAAUGGGCGUUGAUGGUGUGCAGUAAAGUCGUCGGAGGAAUGGAGAAGGGGAUGAGAGAGUGAAAAGAAAGAAGAUGGAGAGUGAGAAAUGACUUCUAGGGUUUGGGAUGAAAUUGG